rnacentral:rRNA from 1 species
UACGUAGGGUGCGAGCGUUUAAUCGGAAUUACUGGGCGUAAAGCGUGCGCAGGCGGUUCGACAAGUCCGAUGUGAAAGCCCCGGGCUCAACCUGGGAAUGGCAUUGGAAACUGGCGAGCUUGAGUGUGGCAGAGGGGGGGUGGAAUUCCGCGUGUAGCAGUGAAAUGCGUAGAGAUGCGGAGGAACACCGAUGGCGAAGGCAGCCCCCCUGGGCUGACACUGACGCUCAGGCACGAAAGCGUGGGGAGCAAACAGG